rnacentral:pre_miRNA from 1 species
UUCCUACUUCCUCCGUCCAACAAAAGAUGUCUCAAGUUUGUCAAAAUUUGGAUGUAUCUAGACAUGACUUAGUGUAUAGAUGCAUUCAAAUUUGGUCAAAUUUGAGACAUCCUUUGUUGGAUGGAGGGAGUAUUAG